GGUUAAGCGACUAAGCGUACACGGUGGAUGCCCAGGCAGUCAGAGGCGAUGAAGGACGUGCUAAUCUGCGUAAAGCGACGGUAAGGUGAUAUGAACCGCUACAGCCGUCGAUGUCCGAAUGGGGAAACCCGGUGCACUCUGUGCAUCAUUGCAGCAUGAAUACAUAGUGCUGCAAGGCGAACCGGGGGAACUGAAACAUCUAAGUACCCCGAGGAAAAGAAAUCAACCGAGAUUCCCCCAGUAGCGGCGAGCGAACGGGGAGCAGCCCAGAGCCUGAAUCAGUUUGUGUGUUAGUGGAAGCGUCUGGAAAGUCGCAGGGUACAGGGUGAUACUCCCGUACACAAAAGCACACAUGCUGUGAGCUCGAUGAGUAAGGCGG
rnacentral:rRNA from 1 species